GGCAGGCAGGCAGGAAGGAAGGAAGGAAGGAAGGAAGGAAGGAAGGAAGGAAGGAAGGAAGGAAGGAAGGAAGGAAGGAAGGAAGGAAGGAAGGAAGGAAGGAAGGAAGGAAGGAAGGAAGAAAGGAAGGAAGGAAGGAAGGAAGGAAGGAAGGAAGGAAGGAAGGAAGAAAGGAAGGAAGGAAGGAAGGAAGGAAGGAAGGAAGGAAGGAAGGAAGAAAGGAAGGAAGGAAGGAAGGAAGGAAGGAAGGAAGGAAGGCAGGAAGGAAGGAAGGAAGGCAGGCAGGCAGGCAGGGAGGAAGGAAGGAAGGAAGGAAGGAAGGAAGGAAGAAAGGAAGGAAG
rnacentral:lncRNA from 1 species